GACAGAGGGGGGCAAGCGUUGCUCGGAAUCACUGGGCGUAAAGGGCGCGUAGGCGGGAUGGCAAGUCAGUCGUGAAAUCUCUCGGCUCAACCGAGAAAACGUCGGCUGAUACUGCCGUUCUUGAGGGAUGCAGAGGAGACUGGAAUUCCCCGGUGUAGCGGUGAAAAUGUGUAGAGAUCGGGAGGAACACCGGUGGCGAAGGCGGGUCUCUGGGCAUCUCCUGACGCUGAGGCGCGAAAAGCGUGGGGGAGCAAACGGG
rnacentral:rRNA from 1 species